rnacentral:misc_RNA from 1 species
ACUUUAAAACGUACAAAGAAGAAAAGAAUGAAACAGUUGUGGUGCUCAAAAUGAAAUAUUUUCGAUAAGAAGAAAAUGUCUUUCAUCUGUAUUAGCUCAAGGUCAAAGUUCAAGAUAUCCGCUUCAAAGCAAAACCAUCAAAGAAACCACGCAGAGGUAGAUGAAUUACGAGGGCGAGAAAAAAAGAGCGUCAAGAAAAAACUCGACAAGGGGCAUUACUCUCCUAUUAAAUGAGGAGAAUAAUCAAAACAAUAAACGUCAUCGGAAUCCCACCAGUGACACCAACUUUUCGAAAUCAGAAGCGGGAAAAGUAAGGUUGGAGACAGAUUGUCUGCGAAGCAAACAAAAUGGCGUCCGUGGAAACUCGUUAAAGGAAUCACUAGAUACCAUAUCAAGAUAUACCAGAAGCUUUGAAGAAUUUGUACAAAAAGAAAUAUCAUCAAAUAGAGAUCUAGAGAACCAAGCACAUUCAUUAGCACCAUCAUUGCGUCAUUCCAUGAACAUGGAGUUAAUCCGACUCAUGUCUUUCCAUAAUUUUCCGUCCUCAAAAACUGUUUCUACGCUGCGACUGGCUCGCCAGGGAUUUUAUUAUUCUAUGGAGUAUGACGUCACAAUAUGUUUUGCUUGUGGUUUUCGAAAACGAGACUGGAGGUCUGACGAUGUCAUUGAGGUUAUUCAUCGUAACAUGUCUCCUGACUGUCCCCUUCUGUCGGCACAGCCGACCAGUAACAUCCAAAUUGUAAAUGACCAAAGGGAUGGGCAUUGUAUGAACGAACUCAAACAGCAAUUUAACGCUUUUGGCAACAAUUUUCCUAGCAGAAGCAAUAGACAGCCACCCUUUUCAACCUCAGAAAUUGCUUCCUCUGGACAUGAAAUCAAAAGAGAACAGAAUACUGAUAAUAUAGACAAAAAAGGUAGUGGUAAAGCCACUUCCUCACAUAAGACUUCAAACGACCUGUUGACUAAGACAAGAAUACAGCAAGAUAAGAUAAAUGCAUUUAUUCGAAACCUGGAUCCAUUAGGAAUUAACUUUGACCGUCCAAAAUAUCCGUCGUACUCGGUGCUAGCUGUAAGGGUGAGUUCCUUUGCGGAUUGGCCAUCUAGUCUAUCACAGACCCCUAGAGAUUUGGCUGUAGCGGGGUUUCUGUAUGCAGGUUACGGAGAUUAUACCCGUUGUUUCUUUUGUGGGGGAGGAUUGCGUAACUGGGAGCCUGGAGACGAUCCGUGGACCGAACAUGCCCGAUGGUUUCCGAAGUGUGCUUUUGUGAGACAAAACAAAGGAGACGAGUUUGUUGCCUUGGUUCAAAUUCAGCACCAAGAACUGGAAGCUAUGGGAGCAGCAAACGAACACCAGGCGAGAGAUCACGCAACUGGACCCGAAAACGUAAUCUCAGAACGUUCAUCAGAACCAGAUGUUUCUACUCUUCCAGCUUUCCAGAGUGUUCUCGAAAUGGGAUAUCCAUCUCAUGUCAUACAACAAGCUUUCGAUUUUCUAAAAAACAAAAAAGGUCAGUGAAAAUAAAAUAAGAAAAUCUUAGCAUUUGUUUGUACAUGUACUAAAAUUGUUCAUAAAAGUAAUGCUAAAUACUUUGUAUUCGAUUUAAAUUUUCAGAGUGCAUAGACAUUAAGGCCGAAGAAAUAAUGGAGGUCAUUUUGUCAUGUGAUGACAUACCACCAUCUUCUGUUGCGAAAACAUCAGACUAUGUCAAGGAGGUUACUGCAAGGUCAUAUGAAGAUAGUAUAAAUGCAAAUGAGCAGCAAACAAAAUCUUCCUUAAUGGCAGUUACGAAAGAAUCUGACGAAGCAGACACUCGCUCGUUGAUCGAGGAGAACAGACAACUGAAGGACCUCAGGAUGUGUAAGAUCUGUAUGGAGAAAGACGCCUCCAUCGCCAUGUUGCCGUGCGGACAUCUUUGCUGUUGUACGGACUGUGCUCCUGCAAUGCGGAAAUGUCCAAUGUGUCGGCAGUUCGUGAAGGGGACUGUCCGUACUUGGCUUGCAUGACUAGAUGUAACUUAUUUGUUCAAUAGUAAAAAAAAAUCACAUCUU